rnacentral:tRNA from 1 species
CCUGUAGCUCAGUAGGAUAGAGCAACGGCCUUCUAAGCCGUGUGUCGGGGGUUCGACUCCCUCCAGGCG